UACCGUAAACCGACACUGGUGGGUGAGCAGAUAAUCUGCCAAGGCGCUUGAGAGAACUCGGGUUAAGGAACUCUGCAAAUUGAUACCGUAACUUCGGAAGAAGGUAUGCCUUCGACGGUGUAGGGAUUUACUCCCGAAGCUGUUGAAGGUCGCAGGUAAUCGGUGGCUGCGACUGUUUAUCAAAAACACAGGACUCUGCGAACACGCAAGUGGAAGUAUAGGGUCUGACGCCUGCCCGGUGCCGGAAGGUUAAUUGAUGGGGUUAGCCGCAAGGCGAAGCUCUUGAUCGAAGCCCCGGUAAACGGCGGCCGUAACCAUAACGGUCCUAAGGUAGCGAAAUUCCUUGUCGGGUAAGUUCCGACCUGCACGAAUGGCGUAACGCUGGCCACACUGUCUCGACCCGAGACUCAGUGAAGUUGAAAUCGCUGUGAAGAUGCGGCGUUCCCGCGGCAAGACGGAAAGACCCCGUGAACCUUCACUACAGCUUUACACUGAACUUUGAACCUUUCUGUGUAGGAUAGGUGGGAGGCUAUGAAACUUGGGCGCUAGCUCGAGUGGAGCCAACCUUGAAAUACCACCCUGGGAUGUUUGAAGUUCUAACCUUGGUCCGUAAUCCGGAUUGGGGACAGUGUAUGGUGGGUAGUUUGACUGGGGCGGUCUCCUCCCAAAGAGUAACGGAGGAGUGCAAUGGUACGCUCAGCGCGGUCGGUCAUCGCGCUCUAGAGUGCAAAGGCAUAAGCGUGCUUAACUGUGAGACAGACACGUCGAACAGGUACGAAAGUAGGUCUUAGUGAUCCGGUGGUUCUGUAUGGAAGGGCCAUCGCUCAACGGAUAAAAGGUACUCCGGGGAUAACAGGCUUAUUCCUCCCAAGAGUCCACAUCGACGGAGGAGUUUGGCACCUCGAUGUCGGCUCAUCACAUCCUGGGGCUGUAGCAGGUCCCAAGGGUAUGGCUGUUCGCCAUUUAAAGUGGUACGCGAGCUGGGUUCAGAACGUCGUGAGACAGUUCGGUCCCUAUCUGCCGUGGGCGUUGGAAACUUGAGGGUGAGCUGUCCUUAGUACGAGAGGACCGGGAUGGACGUAUCUCUGGUGUUCCGGUUGUCACGCCAGUGGCACUGCCGGGUAGCUAUAUACGGACGGGAUAAGCGCUGAAAGCAUCUAAGCGCGAAGCCCCCCCCAAGAUUAGGUUUCCCUGGGAACUCGAUUCCCCUAAAGGGCCGUCGGAGACUACGACGUUGAUAGGCUGGGUGUGUAAGUGCAGCAAUGCAUUGAGCUAACCAGUACUAAUUGCCCGUGAGGCUUGACC
rnacentral:rRNA from 1 species